rnacentral:rRNA from 1 species
AGUGAACGCUGGCGGUAUGCCUUACACAUGCAAGUCGAACGGCAGCGGGGGAGAAGCUUGCUUUUCCUGCCGGCGAGUGGCGAACGGGUGAGUAAUACAUCGGAACGUGCCCUGUAGUGGGGGAUAACUAGUCGAAAGAUUAGCUAAUACCGCAUACGACCUGAGGGUGAAAGUGGGGGACCGCAAGGCCUCAUGCUAUAGGAGCGGCCGAUGUCUGAUUAGCUAGUUGGUGGGGUAAAGGCCUACCAGGGCGACGAUCAGUAGCUGGUCUGAGAGGACGAUCAGCCACACUGGGACUGGGACACGGCCCAGACUCCUACGGGAGGCAGCAGUGGGGAAUUUUGGACAAUGGGCGAAAGCCUGAUCCAGCAAUGCCGCGUGUGUGAAGAAGGCCUUCGGGUUGUAAAGCACUUUUGUCCGGAAAGAAAUGGCUCUGGUUAAUACCUGGGGUCGAUGACGGUACCGGAAGAAUAAGGACCGGCUAACUACGUGCCAGCAGCCGCCGUAA